UACGAAGGGGGCUAGCGUUGUUCGGAAUCACUGGGCGUAAAGCGUAUGUAGGCGGAUCGUUAAGUCGGAGGUGAAAUCCCGAGGCUCAACCUCGGAACUGCCUUCGAUACUGGCGAUCUUCGAGUCCGGGAGAGGUGAGUGGAACUCCGAGUGUAGAGGUGAAAUUCGUAGAUAUUCGGAAGAACACCAGUGGCGAAGGCGGCUCACUGGCCCGGUACUGACGCUGAUAUACGAAAGCGUGGGGAGCAAACAGG
rnacentral:rRNA from 1 species